UACGUAGGGUGCGAGCGUUGUCCGGAAUUAUUGGGCGUAAAGAGCUUGUAGGCGGUUUGUCGCGUCUGCUGUGAAAAUCCGGGGCUCAACCCCGGACUUGCAGUGGGUACGGGCAGACUAGAGUGUGGUAGGGGAGACUGGAAUUCCUGGUGUAGCGGUGAAAUGCGCAGAUAUCAGGAGGAACACCAGCGGCGAAGGCGGCGCUCUGGGCCGGUACUGACGCUGAGGAGCGAAAGCGUGGGUAGCAAACAGG
rnacentral:rRNA from 1 species